GCGAGAGUGGCGAAAUUGGUAGACGCGCAGGAUUUAGAUUCCUGUGACUUCGGUCUUGCGGGUUCGAUUCCCGUCUCUCGCACCC
rnacentral:tRNA from 1 species